rnacentral:misc_RNA from 1 species
UUCAGCCUUUGUCGUGCAACGAUAGACUCAAAAGCGGCGGGAUUCGGGAUAACGAAAAGCGAGGAUUAACGCCAUGCACCAGUUACCGCAUGUUAACAACCAAGAAUUACUAUCUAUAUCCGCUCCAACAGUACGCAAGGGAAGCUUCGAAGAAUUUAAAACCGUGUGAAAUUCGCUAAGAGAAGCUGACCAGAGUUUCGUGUUUUGGUAAAUCAAAAUGUGCGAAAUUGAAC